rnacentral:rRNA from 1 species
UAAACAUAGAUAGAACACUACACAAAGCUAUCCGCCAGAGAACUACAAGCGAAAAGCUAAAAACUCCAAGGACUUGGCGGUGCUUCAAAUCACCCUAGAGGAGCCUGUCCUAUAAUCGAUACCCCACGUUCCACCUUACCACUCUUAGCCAACCAGCCUAUAUACCGCCGUCGUCAGCCUACCUUAUGAAAGAAGCAAAGUAGGCAAAAAAGUUAUCAACUAACACGUCAGGUCAAGGUGUAGCACAUAGAGUGGAAGAGAUGGGCUACAUUUCUUCGAAGAAAAAACACGAACAGUCUACUGAAACACAGACUCAAAGGAGGAUUUAGUAGUAAAAUAAGCAAGAGAACUUACUUUAAACCUGCUCUGAAGCGCGCACACACCGCCCGU